GGCCAUGAAAUCUGACCAACUGCUAGCUACUUACACGCAUGCUUACAACGCUAGUUUCCAGUGAGGAAGCACUCAGUACAGUUGAUUGGGUUUGCGAUGUGCAGGUCAGGCUCGUGGGGACGGUGAGUGGCAAGGCGGGGAGGAACACGGAUAUGUCACUUCAUCAGAUGGCAGGUAGGAGGUACAACGGCCAGCGACCGGGACGACACCAACAGCCAAAGGAAGCUUGAGGUCUGCUCCUUCUCCACCAGUAGAGAGGAGCCUCCUUUUUGGGUUCCGCGUGUCUGCUCCGAGCCUACCAGCGCCGAUGCCAUGGAAGAUUUACUCAGGCACGCGAAGCGUAAUGAGGAGCAGCUGCUGGGCGUGAUGUUGAUCGAUCCUAGCCUGUCUUCCGGCUCUCAGUGAUUUGCUCCUCGAGGUGUAUGCCGUGCUGCACCUGAAUCCUGUUGACUACGAGCAGCGGAACGCCUUGUUUGAUGUAUUCAGCAACAUGGCAACUAAAAUCUUUGGUAAGAGAUGAUAUAGUUUGCCUUUGUUACUAAUAAUGUGAUCACUGAAUAGCAUGAUGAACUUGUCGCAGAGUAGAGAAAGAUAACAUCGUCAUGAAUAUUAUCUCUCUUCCAGUUAUACUCCCUCCGUAACUUAAUAUAAGAUGCUUUUUGACACUAUGCCAGUGUCAGAAAACAUAUUAUAUGAAGUUACGGAGGGAGUAGUAAUCAGCGGUUUUACUCUUUGUAUUUGAGAUUUCUCAAAAACUCUCGUUACUUAUGUUAUCUAUCUACUUACGGAGGGAGUAGUAAAACUAAUAAGAAGAAUACCAUUCUUAAUA